rnacentral:rRNA from 1 species
UGAGGAAUAUUGGUCAAUGGGCGAGAGCCUGAACGAGCAAUGCCGCGUGAACGAGGAAGGUCUUCGGAUCGUAAAGUUCUGUUGAGAGGGAAAAAGGGUCACCAGAGGAAAUGCUGGUGAAGUGAUAUUACCUUUCGAGGAAGUCACGGCUAACUACGUGCCAGCAGCCGCGGUAAUACGUAGGUGGCGAGCGUUAUCCGGAAUGAUUGGGCGUAAAGGGUGCGUAGGCGGCCUGUUAAGUCUGAAGUGAAAGGUACCGGCUCAACCGGUAUAGGCUUUGGAAACUGGCAGGCUGGAGGACAGGAGAGGGCGGUGGAACUCCAUGUGUAGCGGUAAAAUGCGUAGAUAUAUGGAAGAACACCAGUGGCGAAGGCGGCCGCCUGGCCUGUUACUGACGCUGAGGCACGAAAGCGUGGGGAGCAAAUUGGAUUAGAUACC